AUGGCUUUAGGUGGAGGAGGUCCCCAAAGAGGAAGUGCAGCUGCUACUGCAAGCAUGAGGAGAAGGAAAACAGCAGGCGGUGGAGCCUCUGGAGGAGCAGCUGGAACUAUGCUUCAAUUUUACACCGAUGAUGCUCCUGGACUCAGAAUCUCCCCUAAUGUAGUACUUGUGAUGAGCAUUGGUUUUAUAGCUUUUGUUGCUGUUCUUCAUGUGAUGGGAAAACUGUAUUUCAGAGAGGCUUAA